rnacentral:rRNA from 1 species
GACGAACGCUGGCGGCGUGCUUAACACAUGCAAGUCGAACGGAAAGGCCCUGCUUUUGUGGGGUGCUCGAGUGGCGAACGGGUGAGUAACACGUGAGUAACCUGCCCUUGACUUUGGGAUAACUUCAGGAAACUGGGGCUAAUACCGGAUAGGAGCUCCUGCUGCAUGGUGGGGGUUGGAAAGUUUCGGCGGUUGGGGAUGGACUCGCGGCUUAUCAGCUUGUUGGUGGGGUAGUGGCUUACCAAGGCUUUGACGGGUAGCCGGCCUGAGAGGGUGACCGGCCACAUUGGGACUGAGAUACGGCCCAGACUCCUACGGGAGGCAGCAGUGGGGAAUAUUGCCCAAUGGGCGGAAGCCUGAUGCAGCAACGCCGCGUGCGGGAUGACGGCCUUCGGGUUGUAAACCGCUUUCGCCUGUGACGAAGCGUGAGUGACGGUAAUGGGUAAAGAAGCACCGGCUAAGUACGUG